rnacentral:rRNA from 1 species
UGGGGAAUUUUCCGCAAUGGGCGAAAGCCUGACGGAGCAAUACCGCGUGAGGGAGGAAGGCUCUUGGGUUGUAAACCUCUUUUGAUCGGGAAGAAGACAGUGACGGUACCGAUCGAAUCAGCAUCGGCUAACUCCGU